rnacentral:rRNA from 1 species
UACGUAGGGCGCAAGCGUUGUCCGGAAUUACUGGGCGUAAAGGGUGCGUAGGCGGCCUGAUAAGUCAGAUGUGAAAUACCAGGGCUCAACCCUGGGGGUGCAUUUGAAACUGUUGGGCUUGAGUGCAGGAGAGGAAAGUGGAAUUCCUAGUGUAGCGGUGAAAUGCGUAGAGAUUAGGAGGAACACCAGUGGCGAAGGCGACUUUCUGGACUGUAACUGACGCUGAGGCACGAAAGCGUGGGUAGCGAACAGGAUUAGAUACCCGGGUAGU